UCCUACGGGGAGCAGCAGUGAGGAAUAUUGGUCAAUGGGAGAGAUCCUGAACCAGCCAAGCCGCGUGAGGGGAGACGGCCCUAUGGGUUGUAAACCUCUUUUGUCGGAGAACAAAACCCGGGACGUGUCCCGGACUGCGUGUAUCCGAAGAAAAAGCAUCGGCUAACUCCGUGCCAGCAGCCGCGGUAAUACGGAGGAUGCGAGCGUUAUCCGGAUUUAUUGGGUUUAAAGGGUGCGUAGGCGGUCCGUUAAGUCAGCGGUAAAAUUGGGGGGCUCAACCCCGACGAGCCGUUGAAACUGGCAGG
rnacentral:rRNA from 1 species